rnacentral:rRNA from 1 species
GACGAACGCUGGCGGCGUGCUUAACACAUGCAAGUCGAACGGAAAGGCCCUGCUUUUGUGGGGUGCUCGAGUGGCGAACGGGCGAGUAACACGUGAGUAACCUGCCCUUGACUUUGGGAUAACUUCAGGAAACUGGGGCUAAUACUGGAUAGGAGCUCCUGCUGCAUGGUGGGGGUUGGAAAGUUUCGGCGGUUGGGGAUGGACUCGCGGCUUAUCAGCUUGUUGGUGGGGUAGUGGCUUACCAAGGCUUUGACGGGUAGCCGGCCUGAGAGGGUGACCGGCCACAUUGGGACUGAGAUACGGCCCAGACUCCUACGGGAGGCAGCAGUGGGGAAUAUUGCACAAUGGGCGGAAGCCUGAUGCAGCAACGCCGCGUGCGGGAUGACGGCCUUCGGGUUGUAAACCGCUUUCGCCUGUGACGAAGCGUGAGUGACGGUAAUGGGUAAAGAAGCACCGGCUAACUACGUG